CGGGUUCUUGAAACUUCAAGGUAGUAUUUUAAUCAUAAAAAUGGUGAUUUGUUUUACACAUCAUUAAGUUGAAUUGUCACCCUUCAAAUCUAAUCACAAACCAAAUCAUUGAUUAAUUCUUCAUCUCUAUCUCUAAACCAACGCCACUACCAACUGAGCAGAUCGUUACUUCUCACCACACUUUGCUAUCUAUAAACAACAAACCACCUCUCUUCAAGAUCUACACAACCCACAACACAGAUCCCCUCACCAUUGUUGGCUGCAGCAAUGAGGGAACCAACCACCGACAACAACCACAGCAGCGCCUCAUCGUCGCCUCCACCACCGCCUCCACAGGCCCUGCUUGAAAGACUCAAAGACUAUGGUCAAGAAGACACCUUUGCGUUCUGGGAUCAGCUCUCUUCUGACCAACAGAACUUUCUUGUUCAAGAAAUUGAGAGUUUGGAUCUUCCUAGGAUUGAUAGGAUGAUUCGGUGCUCAUUUCAGUCACACGGGCUACCGGCUGCCGCCAUCGAGCCAGUGCCGGAAAGUUUUGUGUCAACUGUGGAGGAUAGAAAGCUUGAAGAUAGAGAAAAAUGGUGGAAAAUGGGAUUAAAAGCUAUUUCAGAUGGAAAACUGGCUGUGCUGCUUUUAUCUGGUGGACAGGGGACACGGCUCGGAAGUUCUGCCCCAAAAGGAUGUUUUAAUAUUGGACUUCCAUCAGGGAAGUCACUUUUCCAGCUUCAGGCUGAGCGAAUUCUGUGUCUCCAGAGAUUAGCAGCUCAAUCGUUGGACGGGGGUUCCGGUAAUGUUGUACCAAUACAUUGGUACAUAAUGACCAGCCCCUUCACCGAUAAAGCCACACGUGAUUUCUUCAAACAUCACAAGUAUUUCGGUCUCGAAACCGAUCAGGUCACAUUUUUCUCACAAGGCACAAUACCUUGUGUUUCAAAAGACGGUAGAUUUAUCAUGGAAACUCCAUUCCAGGUGGCAAAAGCUCCUGACGGGAAUGGAGGCGUUUAUUCAGCGUUGAAGUAUUCAAGACUAUUAGAAGAUAUGUCGACGAGAGGGGUCAAGUAUUUGGAUUGUUAUGGAGUUGACAACGCGUUGGUUCGUGUCGGUGAUCCUACUUUCUUGGGGUAUUUUAUUGACAAGGGUGUAGCUUCGGCUGCUAAAGUUGUCCGUAAGGCAUACCCUCAAGAAAAGGUUGGUGUAUUUGUAAGGCGUGGUAAAGGUGGACCUGUAACCGUAGUUGAAUAUAGUGAGCUGGAUCAGUCACUUGCAAGUGAAAUUAAUCAGGGAACUGGCCGACUUCGUUAUUGUUGGAGUAAUUUGUGCCUGCAUAUGUUCACGUUGGACUUUCUGAACCAAGUUGCCAAUAGUCUGGAAAAGGACAGCAUGUAGUAUUCAAUAUCAUCUGGCUGAGAAGAAAAUCCCGUCGAUCCAUGGGCAAACGGUUGGAUACAAGCUAGAACAGUUCAUAUUUGAUGCAUUUCCAUACGCACCUUCAACCGCACUUUUUGAGGUAUUACGUGAAGAAGAAUUCGCCCCUGUGAAGAAUGCAAACGGGUCAAACUUUGACACUCCAGAUAGUGCACGGCUUCUGGUUCUCCGCCUGCAUACACGCUGGGUGGUUGCAGCUGGCGGCUUCUUAACACACUCGGUGCCUUUGUAUUCCACCGGUGUCGAGGUUUCGCCACUUGUUUCAUAUACCGGAGAAAACCUUGAAGCAAUUUGUCGCGGUAGAACAUUCCAUGCGCCUUGUGAAAUCACAUUCUAGCUUUUUUUUCUUUUUAUUGUUACUUUUUUUUUCUUUCUAUUUUAUGUUUUAUACAGCAAAAUAUUUGAUGAGAAUUUGUAUGAAUCCUAUAGCUCUACAGAUACUGAGAUUGUUUGUAACGCGGCUUCAUUUUGUUCUAUCUAUUACAUUCUAAAAUCA